rnacentral:rRNA from 1 species
ACUCCUACGGGAGGCAGCAGUGGGGAAUUUUGCGCAAUGGGCGAAAGCCUGACGCAGCAACGCCGCGUGAGUGAUGAAGGCUUUCGGGUCGUAAAGCUCUGUCAAGGGGAAAGAAGUGUAUUUUGGCUAAUAUCCUUAAUACUUGACGGUACCCCUAAAGGAAGCACCGGCUAACUCCGUGCCAGCAGCCGCGGUAAUACGGGGGGUGCAAGCGUUGUUCGGAAUUAUUGGGCGUAAAGCGCGUGUAGGCGGUCUGAUUAGUCUGAUGUGAAAGCCCUGGGCUCAACCCAGGAAGUGCAUUGGAUACUGUCAGACUUGAAUACGGGAGAGGGUAGUGGAAUUCCUAGUGUAGGAGUGAAAUCCGUAGAUAUUAGGAGGAACACCGGUGGCGAAGGCGGCUACCUGGACCGAUAUUGACGCUGAGACACGAAAGCGUGGGUAGCAAACAGGAUUAGAUACCCUGGUAGUCCACGCCGUAAACGAUGAGAACUAGGUGUCGCGGGUA